GAUGAACGCUGACAGAAUGCUUAACACAUGCAAGUCUACUUGAUUCUACUUCGGUAGUUGAUGGUGGCGGACGGGUGAGUAACGCGUAAAGAAUCUGCCCUUUAGUUCGGGAUAACCUUUGGAAACGAAGGAUAAUACCGGAUAUUAUGGCGACGUCGCAUGACGAUUUCAUGAAAGCUAUAUGCGCUAGAGGAGGACUUUGCGUCCCAUUAGUUAGUUGGUGAGGUAAUGGCUCACCAAGACCGCGAUGGGUAGCCGGCCUGAGAGGGUGAUCGGCCACAAGGGAGCUGAGACACGGUGCUUACUUCUACUGGAGGCAGCAGUGGGGAAUAUUGGACAAUGGGCCACAAGCCUGGUCCAGCAGUUCUGGGUGCACGAUGAAGGUCUUCGGAUUGUAGGGUGCUUUCAGUAGGGAAGAAAAAGAUGACGGUACCUACAGAAGAAGCGACGGCUAAGUAUUUGCCAGCAGCCGCCGUAAAAC
rnacentral:rRNA from 1 species